ensembl:lncRNA
GUUGCUGAAAGAUAGGAAAGUAAGAACGUGGGAAUUGUGUCUUGUUGUGUUGUGUGGUUGUUUUUUUUUUUCUGUACAGUAACUGUUUACCCUAAUUUGCACUACAGUGCAGAGAACUGUUACUCCAACCCUUUAGGUUGUAAAGAAAGAGGUGGAAGUCUUGACUUAAAGUCACAUCCCUAUGUCAUUUCCAAUAAAACCAUCAAAAAUUUUCUCUUCGCAUCAUCAGCUAAGGAUUCUUGUGAUCAUUUCUGCACCAUGGCUGCUGUGUGUAAUGAGGUUUCUGUCUGGUUCUGAUAACUGGUGUUCAUGGCUUCAUGCUUGCCACGAAGAGUUCUUGCUUUGCUCUGCCAUGCUCAGUUCCACCCACUGCUGUGUCAAACAGUACAGCAUUCACUUUGUAAUCUAUUUAAAACUGUGUUCCUUGUUUUCACUUGCAAUCACAUUAAAUUAACAUGAUCUGUUCCUUUUGUUGUAGUGAGGAAAACUGCUUGGUCCAUCAACCUUAAAGCUGUAAGACUCAGUUGGUAGCUCUCUAGUCACACAGGAGCAGCCAAGAGAGUGACCUAGCUGUGAGGAAAAUACACUUCCUAAGCUGAAAUGGCUGAAAAGGCCAAAAGGACUGGGGAGGGAAAGAGUUUCAAGGUUCUAAAAUAAUGAAGACGAACAAUACAGGUGGCUCCAGAGGACUGUGAAGAUGAUUAGACAUCUGGAGCACUUCUUCUACAGAGAAACAUUGAGGGAGUUGGGGAUGUUCAGCCUUGAGAAAAGAAGACUUGAGGGAAACCUCACUGUGACCUUCCAGUAUUUGAAAGGAGCUUACAAGCAGGAGGGAGAUCAACUUUUAUGUGGUCUGAUAGUGAUAGGACAAUGGCUUUGAACUAAAAGAGGGGAAAUUUAGGUUAGAUGUUAAGAAGAAAUUCUUUACUCUGAGAGUGGUAAACAGGAACAAGUUGCUGUUCAUAUGAAGCUGUGGAUGCCCUGUAUUUGGAGGCACUGAAGGCCAGGUUGGGCCUUGGGUAGACUGAGCUAGUGGCUGGCAACCCUAACCAUGGAAAGGGGCUUGGAUUUAGAUGAUUUCUAAGGUCCCUUCCUACCUAAGCCAUUCUAUUUUAUUAUGAUUCUGUGAUUAGAAGAAAAUAGUAACUGAAUAAAUAAAACACUCAUGCUUUUUGCAUCCCUUUUCAUGCCAAACACUCUCUUACUGCAGUACACUUCCAUUGGUUCACUUAUAGUUGUGACAGUGCUCUAUGCAAAUAAAGGUAGAAUAUUUAAUUUUAACACAAAGUGUUUGCUGAAAUACAUGAAGAAGAAUUUCAUAUGCUAUUUAGAUGUUUGGAUGGGUUUGAUGAAGAACUAAUGAACUGUCAAAAUUCAGAGCAAAACAAUACAAUAGUUUUUCUUCUAUUGAUCCAAAAUACUGCAAUUGUGAAGAACUAUUGGGAUAUAAAUACAUCAGAGUCACUUUUCAGCUUGUAAAAGCUGAGAAAAUUCCUAAAAAAAAUGGGAAAUAAUUAGUGUUAGUGAGAAAAGGUGAGUUAAUCUAAGAGGAUUGCUGUUCACAGCAAAGUAGUAAAAUAUAGGCAGACCAUGCAAAGUUAACUCUUCACUCCUCAUCAUUUCUAAGUUUCAUUGUGUUUAACAAGAAGUGAAAUUGCAGUCUCCUAAAUGUAGGCAGCACACCAGGGUCAGGAGAAUUUAUCUAGAUGAAGUCAUGCUCCUUUAUCAUCUCUGCUUCCUUCCUUCCUUCUUGCAGUCUGAGUAAGAAACUAAACACUGUGAUGUCUUCAGCAGGAAUCUUAUUUAGAAGAACUCGCAUGGCCAAAACACAGGUGGAUUAUAUCUGCUGUGCUACUCGCGUGCCCUUUACUCUACACAGGGAAAUAUAAGGCAGAAGAGCCAGAUUUCCCUAGCAUGAGCUGAGAUCUCUAUGAGACUGUGUGGCACCCCUUAAUAUGCAUGUCAUAUGGCAUCAUUCCAAACUCAUAACAGGUGUCUGAUUGAAAGAGUGAAUCACUGGAUCUACGCUUUUCUCCCUCUAAGAAGAGGUUCAAGUUUCUAUAUUGAGGAUAGGAAUUGUUCAUUUCUUUCUUCUAUAUAUCUGAAAAUAUAGCUUGAAAAAUCAGCAAUGAAAUAGAAAUACAUCACAGUCACAAGUAAAGUUAGUAUAAUAGUCUUCUUUUCUUCCAAAUAUUUAAUUGAUUUAUGAAUUUAUACUAUUGAGAGUUUAAAUUUGGAAUAUGCAAUUUUAAAUAAAUACCAGUAUUUUAUUACUACUACUGUCUGUUAACAGUUUUGAUGCUGAUCACUUCAAUGAAAGGUCUAGGGAAAAUGAAGUAAUAAAGACUUUGUUUUUCUACAACUUCUUAUAGCCAAGAAAUACAAGCAUAUUGUGAGUUUGCUUAGGAGGAAAAAGUAGUUGGACAGAGGCAUUUUUGGCUGAUAUUCUGAGUUUGUAAGAGGGCAGGAAGACAAGAAUAGGAGACAUAACAGAAACAAGAAAGAAAAAAAAAUCCCCAAAACAGUAGGUAUUUUCACCUUGUGUUUUGAAAGAUGCCUAGAUAAUGAACAUGGAAACAUGGCUCCAGGCUCCAUAGCAAAAUAAGACACCAUCUCUUAAGCACUGUUAGUGGUUAAGUGUACUGUUGACACACUAUUAGCUCAGCAUUAGCCAGUUUGGAUACUCUCAGGCACACCUGCGCACAGUUAUCUGUAGGCUGCCUGCAGGCAUUUCUGCGAUCAUUAUAACUGCUGCCUAGGAGUUGUCUGUAUAGACCGGAGGCAAGCAAAACUGGAAAUAUGCCAUGCUUCCCUGGCUUCUCCAUAUGCUGGUAUUGACAUAACCAAACAGCACAGUAACAUAGUCCUGAAAAAAACUCCAAAACUCCACUAGAGGAAAGUAUUCUAGUUGGGUGCUGACUGCCUGAGAUUUGGUGCAAAUUAUAUGGGAUUUUUAAAAGUAAAAAUAGAUGGAUAAAAUAACCUGAAAGGAAAGCAAAUUCACUUUAAAUACAAAUUAAUCUGAAGCCAGAAGAGAUAAAGAGGAGCACGUGUAAAUACCAGUAAGAGUGAUGGCUAUAUUGAGAUACAAG